CAGGCUUAACACAUGCAAGUCGAGGGGUAACAUUGUGCUUGCACAGAUGACGACCGGCGCACGGGUGCGUAACGCGUAUAGAACCUACCUUUUACAGAGGAAUAGCCUUUAGAAAUGAAGAUUAAUGCCUCAUAGUAUUGAGUAUUCGCAUGAAUAUUUAAUUAAAGAUUUAUCGGUAAAAGAUGGCUAUGCGUCCUAUUAGUUAGUUGGUAAGGUAACGGCUUACCAAGACAGCGAUAGGUAGGGGUCCUGAGAGGGAGAUCCCCCACACUGGUACUGAGACACGGACCAGACUCCUACGGGAGGCAGCAGUGAGGAAUAUUGGACAAUGGAGGAGACUCUGAUCCAGCCAUGCCGCGUGUAGGAAGAAUGCCCUAUGGGUUGUAAACUACUUUUAUACAGGAAGAAACACUGGUAUGUAUACCAGCUUGACGGUACUGUAAGAAUAAGGACCGG
rnacentral:rRNA from 1 species